UUAGUGCAGUCAAAUUUUUUACAAGUGUAUGAAGUUUUUAAUGCCUUUGCCCUGCCUGUCCGAAAAUUCACUUUUCUUGUUGUUCAGGAUUUUUAUCGCUUCGCUCCUUUUCAACCCUGAUGGCCCAUCACCACCCCUCGCACCCUGAAUCCGCCGGGUCCGCUCCUUUGUCUGUGAUUUCAAUUUCCAUUGAAACUGAAUCUAAUCACAUGCUCACUGCCUGCUGAUCCUGGGCCGCCUGGCCAGUCCUGGAUUCCUGUCCUAGGGGGUUGAACGAGGAACAAGGACC
rnacentral:lncRNA from 1 species